rnacentral:tRNA from 1 species
GCGCCUAUAAAUCAGGCGGUUCCCCUCGGACUUCCUCGGAUUCCUAAUCCUGGGGUCGCGCGUUCGAAUCGCGCCGGGCGCGCCA